UCUAGUUUGCUUGUUGACAACUUGGUUUAUCAUUUACUCGUGGUAAACUAAACAAAAGAAAUAUUCUCAGAUAUUACAGUUGCUCACACUGAUUUUCUCAGCCAUGAACUAAAUCUGGGAAAGACAAUUUGGAGCCAGGGAAGAGGGGAGGUGGUGCCAUGACAAGCCCUUGAAGAAUUAUUUUAGGACAGAUGAGAAAAAUAAACUUCAAGAAUUGACCAAGUAGCAGAGCAAAGCAGGGACUAGAACCAAGGCAUCCUGGCUGGCAGCCCAAGCACUGG